AGCAGUAGGUGAAUCUUCGGCAAUGGGGGGAACCCUGACCGAGCAACGCCGCGUGAGUGAAGAAGGUUUUCGGAUCGUAAAGCUCUGUUGUAAGAGAAGAACGUUGAGUAGAGUGGAAAGUUACUCAAGUGACGGUAUCUUACCAGAAAGGGACGGCUAACUACGUGCCAGCAGCCGCGGUAAUACGUAGGUCCCGAGCGUUGUCCGGAUUUAUUGGGCGUAAAGCGAGCGCAGGCGGUUUAGUAAGUCUGAAGUUAAAGGCAUUGGCUCAACCAAUGUUUGCUUUGGAGACUGUUAAACUUGAGUGCAGAAGGGGAGAGUGGAAUUCCAUGUGUAGCGGUGAAAU
rnacentral:rRNA from 1 species